GCUGGGAUGGUGGAAUUGGCAGACACGCUAGGUUGAGGGCCUAGUGGGAGUUAAAUCCCGUGGGAGUUCGAAUCUCCCUCCCAGCACCA
rnacentral:tRNA from 1 species